GACGAACGCUGGCGGCGUGCCUAAUACACGCAAGUCGAACGCUUCUUUCCUCCCGAGUGCUUGCACUCAAUUGGAAAGAGGAGUGGCGGACGGGUGAGUAACACGUGGGUAACCUACCCAUCAGAGGGGGAUAACACUUGGAAACAGGUGCUAAUACCGCAUAACAGUUUAUGCCGCAUGGCAUAAGAGUGAAAGGCGCUUUCGGGUGUCGCUGAUGGAUGGACCCGCGGUGCAUUAGCUAGUUGGGGAGGUAACGGCUCACCAAGGCCACGAUGCAUAGCCGACCUGAGAGGGUGAUCGGCCACACUGGGACUGAGACACGGCCCAGACUCCUACGGGAGGCAGCAGUAGGGAAUCUUCGGCAAUGGACGAAAGUCUGACCGAGCAACGCCGCGUGAGUGAAGAAGGUUUUCGGAUCGUAAAACUCUGUUGUUAGAGAAGAACAAGGACGUUAGUAACUGAACGUCCCCUGACGGUAUCUAACCAGAAAGCCACGGCUAACUACGUG
rnacentral:rRNA from 1 species